rnacentral:rRNA from 1 species
UACAGAGGUCUCGAGCGUUAGGCGGAAUCACUGGGCUUAAAGCGUGUGUAGGCGGAUCGGUAAGUACCUUGUGAAAUCCCACAGCUUAACUGUGGAACUGCUUGGUAUACUGCCAGUCUUGAGCCAGCUAGGGGCUACCGGAACAAAUGGUGGAGCGGUGAAAUGCGUAAAUAUCAUUUGGAACGCCAAUGGUGAAAACAGGUAGCUGGGGCUGUGCUGACGCUGAGACACGAAAGCCAGGGGAGCAAACGGG